rnacentral:lncRNA from 1 species
UUAGGAGAAUGAUUAAAGCCAUGCCGAAGAACAACAUCAUCAGAAUCGACAAAGUGAGUAUUGAUUUAAGUAAACGACGCCAUGGAAAUUUAUUCAAGCACUGAUCACGACAAUUAUGGCGCAAGAAAUUACAGGUACAACCAUUGUCUUCAUCCAAAUCAUAUUCCCGUUUCAGUAAUUCUUCAUCCAUAUCGCUAAUACUUUGAUACCUCAUUAUACAGCUUAAUUACUGAAGAUUAAUCACGAAGAUAUUGUUAAAGAGAAGAAUUAAAACUCUUUCUCGCUUACUAACAAAGUUACUUAUUUGGAUUUCUUCUUGCAUUUUGUGUUGGUGCGUAUAUAUACUACAGAAUUCAUCUCAUCCUUUUCAAAUUAGAUGUCCGAACCAGAUCACAAUUAGAAUUCCUAAUACAUUAAUAUUAACUCGGUUUUUCCUUAAUUCAUCCGUAAUCACUAAAUAAAUCUUGAAUGUUUACUCGUUUUUAAACUUUGAAUUUCCCUUUUACAAAAAUUCUUGAAUACAUGUUAUCGCAUUUAAUUAAAAAUAAUUUUAAAAAAUGAACAGAAAUUAAUUUCUAAUUUUACUUUUAUAUAAAAAGUACUUGUUAAAAAACUGAUUGGUGGAAAAAAAAAAAACAAUUAACUUCAACUUAUAUAUUAGGUUUAGGGUUCCUUGAAUUCCUUCAUCUCAUCAUAGAUAUACAAAAACUCACAAAAAUAUUUUAAUUGCUAAGAUUGCAAGAUUAAUUCGUUUCUCUUUCUUCCCCUGCUCUCAUAUUUUCAGUCCAUGGAGAUGGAUAAAUGUAAGAGUUCAUUACAUGAUUUGUCAUGUCCAAACUUUGGAUAACCCAAUUUAAGUCAUGGACAAACUCAAAGAGAGCUAAGCACAGCCCACAAAGGAUAACACAGCCCACCAUUGCUUCCUGCCUAGAUAUACUCUCAUGAUGAAUAUGAUCAUCUUUGAUAAGAAUAAGAAUAUGAAUAGGGAAAAAUCGCAG